UAUGGAAGACAUGGCUGCAUGGUCGCAGCUCCCUAACGAUAUCAUUCUCCAUGAAACCAUCCAAACAUAUAGCACAGUCGUUGCCAUUGCCAUCAGUACUACCAAUUGAUAUGACAUGGUCAUUGCCAUUGCCAUCAGUACUACCAACUUGAGAGAUUGGAAAACUAUCAAGAAUAUGUUGUGGGAGUGAUUGCGAACAUGUUUUUCCCCAGCGACAUACCAUGAGAGCAGCCAGACACAAGCAGAGGAGAAUGGCUUCCGCAAGAACACAAAUCAGAACUAGGUUUUCGUCUUUGGAGGUGAGAUUCAUCUUAGUUUGUGACGAAGAUAUUAGGGUGUUGUUAGUCGACUCCAAAUAGUUUAAAAAAAAGCUAUGAUGAUGAUGUUCAACUCCAAAUAGUUUAAAAGCAAGCUAUGAUGAUGAUGUUCACAAUUACCGCCGGUCUCUUGUUUUGCCUCAAAAUAAGAGGAAGAGAAGUAAUAAAUAGCAGGUUCCAUUAAUAAAUGAUGGCAAUAUUAACUCCUAUCCAAACUGUUAACUCCGGUCCAAACCGUGUUAGGAUAUGGAUAUCUCGGUUCAUAUUGAUAUAUAUUAUUA
rnacentral:lncRNA from 1 species